rfam:Parabacteroides sp. CAG:409 genomic scaffold, scf187
GGUCCUAUAGCUCAGUUGGUUAGAGCACCUGACUCAUAAUCAGGGAGUCCUUGGUUCAAGCCCAAGUGGGACCA